GGCUCGGUGGCAGAUGGUCCGCAUCUGCAACUUGUGUGUGUCUUGUGAUAGUGUUACGCAGAUGGUUGCUCGUUCAAAUUGAGCCUGAGCCA